AGUGAACGCUGGCGGUAGGCCUAACACAUGCAAGUCGAACGGCAGCACAGUAAGAGCUUGCUCUUACGGGUGGCGAGUGGCGGACGGGUGAGGAAUACAUCGGAAUCUACUUUUUCGUGGGGGAUAACGUAGGGAAACUUACGCUAAUACCGCAUACGACCUACGGGUGAAAGCAGGGGAUCUUCGGACCUUGCGCGAUUGAAUGAGCCGAUGUCGGAUUAGCUAGUUGGCGGGGUAAAGGCCCACCAAGGCGACGAUCCGUAGCUGGUCUGAGAGGAUGAUCAGCCACACUGGAACGGGGACACGGUCCAGACUACUACGGGAGGCAGCAGUGGGGAAUAUUGGACAAUAGGCGCAAGCCUGAUCCAGCCAUACCGCGUGGGUGAAGAAGGCCUUCGGGUUGUAAAGCCCUUUUGUUGGGAAAGAAAAGCAGCAGGUUAAUACCCCGCUGUUCUGACGGUACCCAAAGAAUAAGCACCGGCUAACUUCGUG
rnacentral:rRNA from 1 species